rnacentral:lncRNA from 10 species
AUAAAAUUAAGCAUGAAGGCAACUUUCUUGGUGAGACUGUGCUGGUCUGCUUGCUAUAGACAACAUUCAGAUGAGCAGUUAGUUGUCUCCUUAAUGAAGCUAGAUUUAAGUUCUCAGAAUGUAAUCAGGCAAAAUCAUCUCAGAAAUCCUCAAAACCACAGGCAUGAAAGAUCAUACAAAUUUUAAUUUUUUCCCUUUACUUCAUUAAAAAAUGAUUUUUCUUAUGGAAUAUUUUAAACACAAAGUACCAAGAAAAAUACAACACCAGUGAUAUAACAAAUGUUGUAUCUGUUCUCCAGGUGUAAUGAAUAUUAACAGCCAUAUUUACUUCAUAUCUGUUUUUCUUAAGAAGUAAAACUUGCCAGGGCGGGCAUGGUGGCUCAUACCUGUAAUCCCAGUGCUUUUGAGAGGCUAAGGCAGGUAGAUCACUUGAGGUCAGGAGUUCGAGACCAGCCUGGCUAACAUGUCAAGACCCCGUCUCUAUUAAAAAUCCAAACAUGACCUGGAUGUGGUGGCAGGCACCUGUAGUUCCAGCUACUUGGGAGGCUGAGGCAGGAGAAUUGCUUGAACGCAGGAGGCGGAGCUGGCAGUCAGCCUAGAUGGAGCCACUGUACUCCAGCCUGGGAGCAGAGUAAGACUCCAUCUCAGAAAAGAAAAUCUGCCAUAUAGAAUUAAGGUCCCCUUUGUUAGUUUUCUUUUUAAUCCCAUUUCCUUUCCUUGUAUCCUUCACUGCUCUUCUGAAGCUGUGAUUUCCAUCCAUAUUUUAUAUGCUGUAAACAUAUAUAUUGUAAUAAAAAUAUACAGUAUUGUGUUUAACAUUUAAAUGGGAUCAUGUUACACAUAUUGUUUUCCCCCAACAUUGUUCCUGGGAUUUGUCCUUGCUUAUACACAUAGACAGGCUCAUUCAUUUUACCUAUCAUGCAGUGUUUUAUUAUAUACAUUAUAUAUAUAUACACACACAUAUAUUACACACGUAUCAUUAUUCAUCUCUCCUACAUUUGCUAUAACUUUUUUGCUCUUACAGAAGAUGAUGUAUACACCCUUGAACAUGUCUCGCUGUAAACACAUAUGAUCAUUUCUUCAGAGUAUAUAUCUAGAAUCAGAACUCCUAGGAGGUAGGAUAUGUGCAUCUUUAGUUACACUGCAUAUUGCUACAUGCCCACGAAACUGAUUAUACCAGUAUAUACUCCUACCAGCUGUACUUGAGAAUUUGUUUCCCUAUGUACUUGCCAGUUCUUGAUACUGCCAGAUUCUCAUUUUCCAUUCCUCACAAUGGAAUCUUCUUAUUUUAAUUUGUACUAAUUUAUAGUGAGACUGAGCUCAUAUAUUACUGGCUGGAUGAGUAGGUCUUCUGUAAUUACUUAUACAGAUCUUUUGACGAUUUUUCUAAUGAAUUGAUUUUUUAUAUUGACCUAUAGGAUUUUACAUAUUCUGGAGACUGAUCCUUUGUCAAUUAUAUGGGUUACAUAUAUAUUCUCCUAGUUUGUGACUUGUCUUUUAAGUCUUUUGACACAUUUUAAGGGAGAUAAGUUUUUCAUUUCAAUGAGGUUAAAUUUAGCUAUUUUUCCUUUAUAGUUUCUGCUUGUUGUAUCAUGCACAAUCCACCCAUAUUUUAUUUUUGCAUAGAAUAGACAUGGAGACUCUAUUUAUUAUGUAAAAGUAUGCACUAUAUACAAAUUACCACCUUCACAGUUCUUUGUUGUUUUGGUUGUUGUUUUGAGAUGGAGUCUCGCUCUUGUUGCCCAGGCUGGAGUGCAGUGGCACGAUCUUGGCAUACUACAACCUCUGCCUCCCAGGUUCAAGCAAUUCUCCUGCCUCAGCCCUGUCAAGUAGUUGGGACUAUAGGCACUUGCCACCAUGCCUGGCCAAUCUUUGUCUUUUGACAAUUUGAUUGUAUUAUGUGUCAGUGUGGGUCUCUUUAAGUUCAUCUCACUUGGAUUUCAUUGAAUUUCUUGGAUGUUUAUAUAAUGUCUUGCAUCAAAUUUGGGAAGUUUUCAUUAUUUCUUCAAAUACUCUCUCUGCCCCCUUCUCCUUCUGAUAGUUCCACAAAAUGUAUAUUGGGUCAUUUGAUGCUGUUCCGUAGGUCUGGUAGGCUGUGUUCACUUUUCUUUAUUUUGUUCUUUCUGUUCCUCAAACUCAGUAACAUCCAUUGUCCUAUCUUCAAGUUCAGUGAUUCUUUCUUCUCCCUGCUUAAAUCUGCCUGUGAAUUCCUCUAGUGAAUUUUUCAUUUUAGUUAUACUUUCAGUUCUAGGAUUUGUUCUUGGUUUUUUUUUUUUUAUUUUAGGUUUUCUCUUUAUACUUACAUUUUGUGCAUACGUAAAGUCUUUGAGUAGAUCUGUCAUUGGGUCUUUUUCAGUGACAGUUUCUGAUUUGUUUUCCUUUGAAUGGGCCAUAUUUUCCUUUUUAUUUUCAUGCGUUGUGACUUUUUGCUGAAAACUGGGUAUUUGAAUGUAAUAAUGCGGUAACUCUGGGAAUGUGAUUCUUCCUCUUCCCGAAGGUUUACUAUUUU